rnacentral:rRNA from 1 species
AUUCCAGCUUCAGUAGCGUAUAUUAAAGUUGUUGCAGUUAAAAAGCUCGUAGUCGCAUUUCUGGCGAGAGGAAUUGGUCCGACAUUUAUUGUGGGUACUCGAUUCUCUCUCGCCAUCCUUGAGUGGUCCGUUCUGGCAUUUAGUUGUCGGAGCGUCAGCCGCUCAUCGUUUACUGUGAGAAAAUUAGAGUGUUCAAAGCAGGCCUAUGCCGUUGAAUAUAUUAGCAUGGAAUAAUAAGAUAGGACCUCGGUGCUAUUUUGUUGGUUUGCGCACAGAGGUAAUGAUGAACAGGGACAGUUGGGGGUAUUUGUAUUUCGUUGUCAGAGGUGAAAUUCUUAGAUUUACGAAAGACAAACUACUGCGAAAGCAUUUACCAAGGAUGUUUUCAUCA